CGGACGGGUGAGUAACGCGUGGGUAACCUACCCUGUACACACGGAUAACAUACCGAAAGGUAUGCCAAUACGGGAUAAUAUAUUUGAGAGGCAUCUCUUGAAUAUCAAAGGUGAGCCAGUACAGGAUGGACCCGCGUCUGAUUAGCUAGUUGGUAAGGUAACGGCUUACCAAGGCGACGAUCAGUAGCCGACCUGAGAGGGUGAUCGGCCACAUUGGAACUGAGACACGGUCCAG
rnacentral:rRNA from 1 species